UUAAAAUGUUUGCGUUUUAAUCCCGGUACAACUAGAUCUAGGUGCACACGCCUGCACCAUCGAAAUUGCUUAAUUAUCAACCCUUUUCCUCUCAGCAUUAUCUUGGUACGGAGUACUCUCUAAUAUCUCAUCACAAUAUCACAUACAUCUCUCCUCCCACAUUUAUCACCGCAAUCUCUCUCCUACCAAAUAUCUAACUUUUUCCUUCUCCGUCAAUCGGGCCGACCACAACGCCUAGCUAUGAAUAAUUCCUCUAGUUUUCAGAUUCGAUCCGUCUAGGUAUUGCCCGUUAGCUUUGAUGAUGCAAUUGGGGUUUAAAGCACCAGACCUGGAAUUCAAUUUCUAAGAAAGCGUUAGAUGAAAAAAUCGGUAAUAGGCGGCAAACAAAUUGGAAAACCAAUAUAUCAUUCUUCUAUUUUCGUAUUAUUAGGGCUUUUGUCUCACGUUUCUCCGUCGACGAUGGCGAUGAUUUUGAUUAUAAAUUUCUUGCCUUGAAUGAGAAGAGAAUACUUACAUGUAUCGCGCGGCAACGCUGAUGGAGCUUUUGGGGAUGAACACAAAAUUAUGUUUGUUUGAUUUGUUCUGUUUUGUUUUCUUUGAAUUGCUUAGACUUACUGUUUAUUUUUGCGAAUUAUCAAUCACAGCAGAAUACAUUAAAUUAAAUUGGCAAAAGAAAGAAGAUUUAUUUUGUUUCUCCGUAUUUUGAACUUUUAGAUUUUGUACAAUUUUAAUAAUUUGGAAUGUUAUUUGGACUUUUACGGAGAGAUUUGUAACAGAGGAAUUUUACAAAGAUUGUGUAAUAACUAUAAUUCCUUCUUUCAAGGAAAAUGGGAGAGAUUGCAGGCUUUGAUUUACA